AGUCGAACGUGAAAGCACUUCGGUGUGAGUAGAGUGGCGGACGGGUGAGUAACGCGUGGGAAUCUACCCAGUAGUGGGGGACAACUACCGGAAACGGUAGCUAAUACCGCAUACGCCCUAUGGGGGAAAGGCUUCGGCCGCUAUUGGAUGAGCCCGCGUCAGAUUAGCUAGUUGGUAGGGUAAAGGCCUACCAAGGCAACGAUCUGUAGCUGGUCUGAGAGGACGAACAGCCACACUGGGACUGAGACACGGCCCAGACUCCUACGGGAGGCAGCAGUGGGGAAUAUUGGACAAUGGGCGAAAGCCUGAUCCAGCAAUGCCGCGUGUGUGAAGAAGGCCUGCGGGUUGUAAAGCACUUUCAGUUGGGAAGAUGAUGACGUUACCAACAGAAGAAGCACCGGCUAAAUCCGUGCCAGCAGCCGCGGUAAUACGGAUGGUGCGAGCGUUAAUCGGAAUUACUGGGCGUAAAGCGCGCGUAGGCGGCUAAGUCAGUCAGAAGUGAAAGCCCCGGGCUCAACCUGGGAAUUGCUUUUGAUACUGCUUAGCUAGAGUUUGGUAGAGGAUAGUGGAAUUCCAGGUGUAGCGGUGAAAUGCGUAGAUAUCUGGAGGAACAUCAGUGGCGAA
rnacentral:rRNA from 1 species